rnacentral:rRNA from 1 species
CAGCCGCCACGGGAAUACGUAGGUGGCAAGCGUUGUCCGGAAUUAUUGGGCGUAAAGGGCUCGCAGGCGGUUUCUUAAGUCUGAUGUGAAAGCCCCCGGCUCAACCGGGGAGGGUCAUUGGAAACUGGGAAACUUGAGUGCAGAAGAGGAGAGUGGAAUUCCACGUGUAGCGGUGAAAUGCGUAGAGAUGUGGAGGAACACCAGUGGCGAAGGCGACUCUCUGGUCUGUAACUGACGCUGAGGAGCGAAAGCGUGGGGAGCGAACAGGAUUAGAUACCCCAGUAGUCCCUGUCUCUUAUAC